rnacentral:lncRNA from 1 species
GCCACAUGGUGUCCCCGACAUCCCAGUGUCCCCUCACAGCGUCCCCAUGAUGUUUUCCCCAACGUCUCCAUGGUGAUGUCCCCAAUGUCCCAUGGCACAGCUCCAUGGUGUCCCCAAUGUCCCUAUGAUGUCCACAGUGUCCCUAUAACAACGUCCCCAAUGUCCCCAUCGUGAUGUCCCCAGCAUCCCAUGGCACAGCUCCAUGGUGUCCCCAACGUCUCCAUGUGUCCCCAUGAUGUUUUUCCCAAUGUCCCCAUGGUGAUGUCCCCAACAUCCCAUGGCACAGCUCCAUGGUGUCCCCAAUGUCCCUAUGAUGUCCCCAGUGUCCCUAUAGCGUCCCCAAUGUCCCCAUGGUGAUGUCCCCAACAUCUCCACGCACAGCCACAUGAUGUCCCCCACAUCCCAACGUCCCCCCUCCCAGUGUCCCCCCCACGAUGUCCCCAACGUCCCCCAUCCCUUUGGUGGCAUCAUCCACACGUCAGGGUGGGACAAACAAGGCAGGAUGUGACAAGGGGACAGGAUCUGGGUUCCCCACCCCAAAUUUGGGUCCGCCCCACUCCCCCUCUGCCCCAGCACUGCGGUGUCACUCGGGGGUGGCAUCAGUGUCACCUUUUGUGUCCCCAUUCCCCUCCCCCCCACGUUGGGGUGCUGCCCAGGAGCAGCUUUCAGCCACCAAACGCCCCAGGAGCCAAACAAACCUUUAUACCAAAAGUGGGGUUGGACACCCGCUGCCAUUUUGUCACCGUAUGUCCUGGUUGUGUCCCUUUGUCACCACUCCUCCUGCUGUCCCUUUGUCCUGGUUGUUCCUUUGUCACCAUUCCUCCUUGCGUCCCUUUGUCACCACUCCUCUUGUUGUCUCUUUGUCACCACUCCUGGUGUCUCUUUGUCCUGGUUGUC